rnacentral:rRNA from 1 species
AUGAAUUGUUUAAGUUGGAACUGCCGGGGGCUUGGGAACCCCGAGGCAGUUCGAGAGCUUCGCAAAAUUGUGAAGCAAGAAGGGCCUUCCCUAGUUUUUGUUAUGGAGACAAAGAUUAGGGCGAAGAGAGUGGAAAGAUUACAGCAAACACUUGGGCUCGCGGGAUGUUUUGCGGUGGAUAGUAAUGGGCUUAGUGGUGGAAUUGGACUGUUUUGGUCCAAAGACAUGAUAGUUGAUCUCAAAAACUUCAGUUCUGGUCAUAUCGACGUUAUGGUCCGGAAAGCUGAUAAUAGUACUCCCGAAUGGAGAUUUACGGGGUUCUAUGGAGCUCCAAGGAGUGAGGAUAGGCAUCAUAGCUGGAGAUGUCUAUGCACACUGCACGCUAUUCAACAUCAGGCAUGGAUGUGUGUUGGAGAUUUUAACGAGACAUUGUAUGGCACUGAGCACUUCAGUCGAGCGGCUAGACCGGAGUGGCAGAUGCGGGCGUUUCGCGAGGCUCUGGAAGAGUGCGCUUUGCAGGACAUGGGCUUCUCAGGCGUACCCUUCACAUGG